GAAAGAGUGAUCUAGGGUUCCGAUACAUAUCUAUUUUAUGUAUGUCUGCGACCGAGAGUUCACGGUUCGAAAGAGCUACACGGAGGGAUAAAAGCCCGGGAGGU
rnacentral:sRNA from 3 species